UUCUGAAAUGUAAAAUAUCAAACAAGCGAAGAUCGAAGCACAAAGAAGAGACCACUUCUUCGACCUUUGAGUUAAGCAGUAUAGGCCUGCUCAAAUUGUGAAAUGUGCUUUGAGCAAAUAGUUCCCGAACAGAUUUUAAAGAUGCUGCUCAAUCUGCAAAUAGCAAUUAAUUGCAGGGUGUUAGAAAUGGGCAUCAAGUGAAAUACAAACAUUUUAAUACGCUAUUUUUGUAUUAAAUUAAUAAUGUUCUCAUCUUGUUAUUUAGCAAAUACAGUUUUAGAUAAAAAAGGAGCACAGUUAAAAAUGUAGUAUUCUAUUCAUAUUAUAUGUACGGUGUCCAUUUUAAGACAUCCUCAGGUAUCACCUGUCAAGUAUCAGGCAUUAAUAACUUCCUCAAUCACCACUCCGGUAUCACUCAUUUUUGCUAUCAGCUAUCAUUCUUUUUUGCUAUCGGGUAUCACUUGUACACUCUUUAUGAGAUGACAACAUUAUGAGAGCUUGUUUACAAAAAAGUCACAAUUUAUAUUUAGAAACAUACAAAUCACUAUUUGUUUUUGCAAGGCUUGCUGCUGUGGCAUUUACAAUUCCACUAAACACCCUUACGCACACAGAAACGCUUCUUUGUUUGACAAAGAUGAAGCCUUGCAUAGCCCCAGAAUCGGCUAUUUGUCUGUAAAGGUGCUCCAGAGAUCCUCCAGCAGACCAAACGAAGAAGCUGUCUCGUCUUUUGUGGUUUGUUCUGUGCUUCUUUGGUAUUUUACAUUUCACAAUUUGAUUGUAUCACUUUACUCAAAAACCGAAGAUGAUGUCUCUUUUGCGUUUCGCAAUUUUCUUGUUUGAUAUUUUACAUUUUGCAAUUUGAUCAAAAUAAUUUGCUCGAAGACCGAAAUAACCUUUCAUUUCAUUCUUUGAUAAUUUUGUAAAUGUACAAAUCAUGAAAUUGUUAUGUUUUUCAGUCAUUGACCGAAUCCUGACUAAUGUUUUUUUUUUUUUUAUGAAAUAAAAUAUAGGUCAGUACAUUGGAAAAUAUAAAAUAUCCUAUCCCUAUGUUAUAGUUACUAUGUGUUUUUCUUUUGUUUGUUUUUUUUUUAAAUAUUUAUAUAUAAAGUGUGCCGGGUCCAAUGCAGUUACUCAUGCCAAUAACCUGCUAAAGACUGGGUUGGUUUAUACUUGGAUGGGACCAAAAUCCGAUGCUCCUAAAAAAGGAAUAUUUCAGGCUACAGUGGUCAAGAUUAAAACCGAAUUCUGGAUGAACAUUCGUUCUUCUGAAUUUCAAUUAAAUGGGGCCACUUCUGGACUGAAAUACAAUGCUUGUGUUUUAUUCUCUUUGUUGACUGCGUCACUAAUCCGUUCCAUCUGAUGCUCCCCAUCCAACACAUGAUGUUUAUAACGUGUGUGCAUGUGUAGAAAACCUGAGACAUAUUCCAAACAUUUUAAUUUUUCUUUUUUAUAUAUAUAAUUUAAAGACACAGUAAAUUAUAAGGCAUAGGUGUAUCUCUCUCUCUCUCUCUCUCUCUCUCUCUCUCUCUCUCUCUCUCUCUCUCUCUCUCUCUCUCUCUCUCUCUCUCUCUCAUAUAUAGAUAUAUACACACAAAUGCAUUCCUACAUAUAUCUGAAGUACUCGCUUUGUUGGUACUAUAUAUUUGUGUUUGAAACAUCCUGCUGCUGUAUGUAAUAGCAGAAGUAUGACUCUUAAUUUCACUUAUUUGAAAGGCUCAAAGACCAAAUACAUUUGUGGGCCUGCCAUUGAAACUGCUAUACCUUCAAGCCAGGCAUGUAAACAAACAGAAAAGCCAGUAAUGUCUGCUUCCUGAUUAAGAAGAGUGCCCAGAAUAGUAACUAGGGUAUAAUGGAGUAAACCCCUAGAACGGUGGUAUGUAAUUGAACAUGAUUGGGGGAUACAGCAGCUUUUCAGAAUUAAAUAUUAUGUCCCAGCCUUUUUCUACAGCCACCUGAAAAUCAAUAUUUCUCAGGAAUUGGUACACAUUUCCUUUGAAAUACACUCAUUUGUGUUACUUUUUACAAAAUUGUUUUAUUUUUAUUGAGAAACAAAACCUAUAAAUGCCAUAUACUGCAUAGAGACUGUAUUUGAAGUCGUGCUGUUAACACUACUGAUGUUUGCAACCUGUAACUACUGGUAAU